GACGUCGUGGGUGUUUGGUGUGAGGCUGCGUGCCGCCGCGAGUUCUCACGGUCCCGCCGGCGCCACCACCGCGGUCACUCACCGCCGCCGCCACCACUGCCACCACGGUCGCCUGCCACAGGUUUCUGCAGUUGAACUCCAAGGUGCAGAAUGGUUUGGAAAGUAGCUGUAUUCCUCAGUGUGGCCCUGGUCAUUGGUGCUGUUCCUAUAGAUGAUCCUGAAGAUGGAGGCAAGCACUGGGUGGUGAUCGUGGCGGGUUCAAAUGGCUGGUAUAAUUAUAGGCACCAGGCAGAUGCGUGCCAUGCCUACCAGAUCAUUCACCGGAAUGGGAUUCCUGACGAGCAGAUCGUUGUGAUGAUGUACGAUGACAUUGCGUACUCUGAAGACAAUCCCACUCCAGGAAUUGUGAUCAACAGACCCAAUGGCACAGAUGUCUAUCAGGGAGUCCCGAAGGACUACACCGGAGAGGAUGUUACCCCACAAAAUUUCCUUGCUGUGUUGAGAGGCGAUGCAGAAGCAGUGAAGGGCAUAGGAUCCGGGAAAGUCCUGAAGAGGUAAUGUCUGUUUACGGAUGCUACACUUCUCUCAAUGGCUUGGGACUCCAGUAUAGAUAAUUGAAACAGGUGUUGUUCUGUGCUCCUAGCCAGUUUACCUGUGAGAAAUUACAGAGUGGAGAGUUUUGUUCUGACUUAGGACAGGUGCUUAGGGCUGUUGUUUCAGUGGCUUCUCUUUGUGGCCCCAUUUCUGCACUGAAUUCACCUUAUGAUCCAGGGCCCCUCAUUAUUAGUAAAAUGUUCCUAUCACUUAAAUUCCUCAUUCCUUGUCUGGGGAUCGUAGCGCAGGGAUGUCCCACUGCCAGUGGAGCCCGUGAGGCAGGUGUGAAUCCCUGUGCCCAGAUUGCAGGGCCACCAGCCCUGUGUUCUGAUCACAGAUCAGCCCAA
rnacentral:sRNA from 1 species